rnacentral:antisense_RNA from 1 species
UGUGGGAGCUGGCUUGCCUGCGAUAGCGGUAGUGCAUUUGUUACUGAUGACCGCUAUCGCAGGCAAGCCAGCUCCCACA